AAAAUAUUAAAAGUUAAAUUUGACAAAGUAUUUAUUUUGUGGUUGUGUGAUGUUUUGGAGCCAAACUCUUCUUUAGUUACAUCCAACAUAAAAGGCCUGAUGGUAGGUGAUUCAUUUUGGUUGCACCACAGACUUUUGUAUGCAGCUGAAUUCACUUAUAGUAAAAAAUGAUGAAUAGCAAAAAAGAAGAAGACAGAUACGAUAAAUUCAGAUAAAGUGCACAAGUGCUCAUUCAAAAAACAAAGUGGAACAAAUACAUUCAUCAGGAGUUCACACACACACACACACACACACACACACACACACACACACACACACACACACACACACACACACACACACACACACACACACACACACACACACACACACACACACACACACACACACACACACACACACACACACAGCAGGCUGCUCUCGUGCACUGCCCACCAGACGCAGCCCUCCAUGGCUGUUUUAAUCUUUAAUUGAAUUCUUUAAUCGUCCACAGGCCUCCGCCCUUCGUGAUGGAGGGCCAGGGGCCAGUGGAGCAGGAGGUUACCUGGAUAUGAGGCAGGACUUAAGCUCUUGGAGUUUCAUCCGGGUGCUCCGGUUUCCCCACAUUAACUACAUAAAAACAUCUAACAACUAAUUCAAUAAAAUUGAAAAAA